GAUGAAGAACGUAGCGAAAUGCGAUAAGUAGUGUGAAUUGCAGAAUUCAGUGAAUCAUCGAAUCUUUGAACGCGCAUUGCGCCCUUUGGUAUUCCUUAGGGCAUGCCUGUUCGAGCGUCAUUUACAAAUUCAAGCUCAGCUUGGUGAUGGGUGUCUGUCCCGCCUUUGCGCGUGGACUCGCCUCAAAUGCAGUUGGCAGCUUAUCCCUCGGCUCUAAACGCAGCAGAUUUGCGUCGAGCGUCGUGUGGACGGGCUCUCCAGUAAGCAAACCCCCCAAAAUUGACCUCGGAUCAGGUAGGGAUACCCGCUGAACUUAAGCAUAUCAAUAAGCGGAGGA
rnacentral:misc_RNA from 1 species